GCGGGCGUAGCUCAGCGGUAGAGCGUCGGCCUUCCAUGCCGAAUGUCGCGAGUUCGAAUCUCGUCGCCCGCU
rnacentral:tRNA from 1 species